GUCCUGAUGGCUGGACGGGAGAACACUGCAAUGAACAAAGUUCACAUCGUCGCCAGAUAUGGAUCCUUUCUGCUGCGGUUGUCGUUUUGGUCUCUAUUGUUAUCAUCAUGGCCGUGCUCUUCCUUAAGCGGUACGUAGUGAACGGUUCAGCCGGGAUAUACAUGUCACCUGUACAAAACGAUCUGGAAUCAAGAUCCGAUGAUAUCUCGCUGGAAGAGCUUGGUGGGUCACGUGACAGUGAUUACCGACAUUAUGAAAUGAUUCAAUCAUCGGCUGGUACAGAUGAAGAUGACGAUUCGCCUGAUGUAGUUGAAGCUGCAGAUCAGAGACGCUAUGAGACGCUGGGGCCAUCCGAUGACGCCACACGGUACACACAUCUGGUGUCAUUUGUUGAUUAGAUUCAGGCUUGAUUGAAAUACAUUCUGUAUGUGUAUAUGCUGGUUGUAUAGCUUUGCACUUUAAAACUUUAAAAAGUAAUUGGUUGCAUGGAUGUGUCGUGUAGUGUAUUAUAAUUACAAGAUUUCUCUUUUUAGCGAGCAGAUUACGUUUGUGCAAAGUGUGACACAGCAGUUAGAGCAGUUAGAAAUAUGCUGCUUUGUUUGGUUCGUUACUUGGCGUGUGUACAGUUAUCUCCCUUACACUGCAUUUGCUUAAACUGGAACUUCCGGUUUCAAUCAAAUAUCCUCCUGGUUUCAGUGUGGCUGGUUUGGGGAUAUCGACUUCCUUUCUGUUUGCUCUCUCUUGUAUCAUAUACCCUGUGAUAAAUCACUGAACUAUUCAGAAAAUAUAUUUACCCUUCUUUACAACUAUUCACAAUUCUACAUGUUGUGAACCUGUACACAACACGUUAUUCUGUACAAAAUGACACUGGCUUGUCCAAACACGAGGCGCUGUAUAAUCCUUAGUUUUUUGUCAGCACUCUGUAACUAAUCUGUCAAUGCAGUGUCAUAUACUGUCAAUUGUUUCAGUCAAUGUAUUGUUACCUGUUACUCACAUUUUGAUAAUUGUGUUCUAAUAUUUAUGUUGUCCAAUGACAUCCAUGUUGUUGUCAAGGAAAUCCGAAUGAUGUGUAAUCUGAAUGAGUUAGAGAUAACGCCGCUUUGAGCAGUAUUCCAGUUAUAUCACGGCGUGUCAGCUUGAUGUGGGAAGCGAUGCAGGACGUUUACCACUGUGGUGAAACCCCAAGCACGGUAUGGUGCUGACAAACCCGGACACGGGACGAGCCCAGAUUCGAACCAGAUUCUGGCGUGCCCAAGGGACGCAACUCUGCACAGCAUGUAGGAGCCAGUCUGGACUUCCGACCUACGCCUGACAUUAUGCCAUUAUGACUCAGACAUCCAACAGCGUUCUCCCUUUAGGUCUUGUACAGUUAUCUCCCUUACAUUGCGCCUCCAAACAGAUAUAGAAUUUUGGUUGUCAAAUUAUCUUUCAUUUUUGUUUUAUUAUGUGGAGUUUAUCAUGGAUGUUUGUAUAGUAUCAUUAUCGUUUUCUUCGGGCUUCCCUUCAAUCGAAUUCUUUUUCAUGAAAUGCUCUGAGGCCACAAAUAUUUUAGAAACUUCGAUGUACCCUUCAUGUUGCUCACAAAUCCAAAUGUUUCAUGAGCUUUAAACGCUCUUCUGUGCAAAAUGACACUGGUUGCCCAAACACACAUGUUCAAUCCCCAUGUUAUUGUUUAUUGUCGGACUCGGGUAUAUCUGUACAUUGACCUCUGUACUGUGUAUAUAUGCGCAGCUUAUGUAAAUAAAAUGUCCGUGAAGUC